GACAGAGGGUGCAAACGUUGCUCGGAAUCACUGGGCGUAAAGGGCGUGUAGGCGGGAAGGAAAGUCAGAUGUGAAAUCCCCAGGCUCAACCUGGGAACUGCAUUUGAAACUCCCUUUCUUGAGUGCCGGAGAGGAAAGCGGAAUUCCUGGUGUAGAGGUGAAAUUCGUAGAUAUCAGGAGGAACACCAGUGGCGAAGGCGGCUUUCUGGACGGUAACUGACGCUGAGACGCGAAAGCGUGGGGAGCAAACAGG
rnacentral:rRNA from 1 species